rnacentral:rRNA from 1 species
AUUGAACGCUGGCGGCAUGCUUUACACAUGCAAGUCGAACGGCAGCGCGGGCUUCGGCCUGGCGGCGAGUGGCGAACGGGUGAGUAAUGCAUCGGAACGUGCCCAGUAGUGGGGGAUAGCCCGGCGAAAGCCGGAUUAAUACCGCAUACGACCUGAGGGUGAAAGCGGGGGACCGAAAGGCCUCGCGCUAUUGGAGCGGCCGAUGUCGGAUUAGCUAGUUGGUGGGGUAAAGGCUUACCAAGGCGACGAUCCGUAGCUGGUCUGAGAGGACGACCAGCCACACUGGGACUGAGACACGGCCCAGACUCCUACGGGAGGCAGCAGUGGGGAAUUUUGGACAAGGGGGGCAACCCUGAUCCAGCCAUGCCGCGUGCGGGAAGAAGGCCUUCGGGUUGGAAACCGCUUUUGUUCGGGAAGAAAUCCUCUGGGCUAAUACCCCGGGGGGAUGACGGUACCGGAAGAAUAAGCACCGGCUAACUACGUG